ensembl:lncRNA
GGAAUCUGUGUAUGUUUUGUCUCAAAGAUGCCAAUUUUUGCCCAGUCCUCAUGACACCUUAACUUACAUGUCAGCUGUACAUACCACUGAACAAGGAGGAAUUUCCUUUACGCUGUUCCUUCUUUGAACAAGGAGGAUAUGAUAACAUAUAAUUACCAGACAGAUGAAAUUCCAUUCAGUUUAAGUUUUUACCAGUCCUCAAGUUAUUAAGUUCAUACAAAUUAGAUGCAUAAAUCUAUGGUGUUUCCCGUAGUCAUGUAUGGAUGUGAGAGUUGGACUAUAAAGAAAGUUGAGCACUGAAGAAUUGAUGCUUUUGAACUGUGGUGUUGGAGAAGACUCUUGAGAUCUUUGCCCUCAUCUUGGUAUUAUUCACCAGAUAUCAACAACUUAAGAAUACAAUGGCUUAGAUUUAAGUCUGAAAGGAAGAGCUAUGUAAAAUAUCUGUGUAUUUUGUUCUUCACAAACCUAAUUAACCAUUGAUAAAAAUAUAUAUUGCUCUAUUCUUUUGGCAUAGCAUACAGAGUUAACAUUUUCUUCUAAGUAACUUCCUUGGUGGCUCAGAUGGUAAAGAGCCUGCCUACAAUGAAGGAGACCUGGGUUAGAUACUUGGGUCGGGAAGAUCCCCUGGAGAAGGAAAUGGCAACCUACUCCAGUAUUCUUACCUGAAGAAUCCCAUGGACAGAGGAGUCUGGUAGACUACAGUCCAUGGUAUCUCGAAUAGUUAGACAUGACUGAGUGAUUAACACUUUCUUCUAAAAGAAACUUCACAGAACAGACAUAUGAAGUUCUUUAACCUUAUUUCAGUUACAAAAUAUAACAAGUCCAGCCCCCUGUGCAUGUACACAGCCAUAGCUUUGUGAUCCUGGGCAGAGCUCUUGACCACUCUAGGCCUCAUUUUCUACACUUGUGUAAUAAGAGACUUUUUUAUUUUUGGCCUCUGCUUCUCUUUCUUUCUUGUUUCCAACACACAGUAAUACACAUUUUUAUUUUUGAUAUGUUAAAUGUGAGGGCUUUUAAAUAAGCUUAAAUUGGGCAAAAAUAUAUAACUAAAAUUGACCAUUUUAAUCAUUUUAAGUAUACAGUUCAGUAGUGUUAAGUAGAUUCAUAUUGUUGUGCAACCAGUCUUCAGAAUGUUUUAAUCUUGCAAAACUAAAACUCUAUACCCAUUAAACAGCAACUCCCCAUUUCCUUGGCAACCAUCAUUCUACUUUCUCUGUGAAUUUGCCUACUUUAGAGAUCACAUAUGAGUGGAAUCAAACAAUGUUUGUCUUUUUGUGACAUAAUGUCC